UUCUGGGAUGCCUCGUUGUGGGCCAAAU
rnacentral:sRNA from 1 species